GCGGCUUGUCUGAACUUUAAUAUUUCGGAAUACCUUCUUGAAAACUGCAAUAAGUGAAACAUUGUCAACAUCUCUUGGAAUUUUGUUUUCUGCAGCAUGACCUUACAACAGUGUUGCUCCAUCAGCAGGCAGUGGCACACAGCAGGGACGGACCCAGGCAUGCAGCAUAGCCAGCACACAGCCCUGCCGAGAGCCCACCAUGCACUUCCCUGCCUUGCUUCACCACUUCAGUCCAAGCUCCUGAGCCAACGUCGCUGCCCCACAUUCAGCUCCAAGCAUUCUGAAGACUGUCGAUGAAGAGAGUCUGAGUGUCCGUGAAAUUAAUUUGGGACUCAGAAGAGCAAUAUCUAAUUGUGUACAAAUGUCCUGCAUGGCCAUUGCAAGGCUGAACAAAUUCACCUCCCUCAUCUGUUCAGCUGUCUCAGUAGCCCACUUGACUCACCCUGAUUUGCUGAUACCCUUCUUGCACUCUGAGGGAACGCGAUCCCAAGGUGGAACUGUGUUUCAGUUAUGAGAUGUCCUCUGAUAUGACGUAUCUCAUUGGUAACUCUUGCAUACCUGAAGAUUUUCCGAUUGCAUGAUUCAGCUCAGGACACAGAGAGGAAUAAGACCUGGGAGUGCACCUCUGAUGCGAUGAGCUGCAGCACGACCUGGAAGGUCGAUCCAUUGCCCACCAAAAAUCACCUUCUGCUCACUAGGACAUCAAACCUCACAGCAUCCUCAUACAGUGAGAACCUACUGCUGGAUCCCCACCUGGGACCAAGUUUUUGCUGAUUGAGAAGCUCAUGAGAUACAUCUAAUGUCCCUGGAGGUCCUCAGGGAAGCAGUGGUCAGACAAUCCUUUCCUAGCCUGCUUUGGGCAACGCUGGUGGUACUGCUGGCACUGCAUGUGGGCUGCUGUGCUGGUACUGAGCUCCUUGGGCAGAGUGUGAUUCAGCCUUCAGUGUUACAGCAGUCAUUAUUGCAAUGGAGAGGUCUGGGACCAAACAGUGAUGGUCACAGAUACUGAACCAACUGGAUAAAGCACCAUCUAAUACAUUUCCGUGAAGAGUUUCAAAGUUGGUGUUUCCCAGUGGAAAAAAUAUGGGAGCACACUCUUCAUCUCAUUCUACUUGACCCAGCAGUCCGAGCUGGGCUCCAGGAGUUGCACACGUCUGAAAUGAGCUGUGAGGUGCAGCCGUGCUCUCCCUGUCACUCAGGAAGCCCGCUGCCGGGGCACAGCUGUGGACAGGAGCUGAUGCCUGUGCCCAGCUGAUGAAGUGAAGGGACCGUGUGCUGCUGGCUCUGAAGUGAAAACAAUCACUCUGAAAUCUCAGAGCUUCCUCAGAAAUGUAAAAAAAUGGGGUGGGAGCACCAGUUAAUUGUGCUUUUACACACUGUUAUACUUGUCACCGUGCCAGACUCUACAUUUCUUCCAAGGGUGAAAUGAAAACUCCAAAUUCAUGUGGUUAUGAAACAAUUUCAGUCUGAGCACUCAGUGAAGAAUUAUAAAGUGGGAAAGACACAGUCCUGUGUCUCAGCUGGUUGAGAAGGCUCUGAAUUGAUCAAGGCUUCUUCCAGCUUGGAGGAGUUUUCUGGAGUGUAUUGAAAACAUUCUGCAUCUGCGUAUUGAAUGCAAAUAAAGUACUGCAGAAAAGCUGAUGUGUUAUGACAUUACUUUGAUUAGGAGAUGAGACAACUGGCAGAAGGCAUCGUUGUCGUUCCAAGAAGUUUCAUUUCUCUGCAUCUAGACAUUUGGGAAAUGAAUCUGGUUUGCUUGCUUUACACCAGAAUAGAUUCACACAUUGCAAAUAUGGCAAGAACUCACUGGCGCUACAAGGUACACCUGGAGAUAAGAUCGUGGUGGGAGACCUGGAUGAGCAAGGACUGAACACCUUUUCUCUGCCUACAAUGUAUGGUAACUGUUGAGUCACAGCCUGAACCACUACUGAUCACUGAGGCAAGGACUGGGUGAGCUGUGGGGCACAGGUGAAGGCAAUUCUGCUGUGUGACUGAAAGGGGUGGAACACGUUCCACCUCUCCUAGACCCCAUUUAAGGGCUGACUACCACUGGGGAAGGAUUUUUUUCUGGGGAUCCCUCCUCUGUAGAGCUUUUCAUUGUGCACCUAAUUUUUGGAUAUAGGUGAGCAUUUCUUCUCUUUUUGUUCUUUUGCCAUCUCUCUGCAAUGCUCUUUUCAACUCUUCAUUUGUUGACUGUAUGUGCACUAAUGCAGCUGAGAUACUUGAAGGUAUUUGUAAGCUUAGCUGGAGUCGGCCCUACCCUCUGUUAGUCUUGAGACUAAUGAAGCACAGUAAGGUUAACUUUUAUGCUUCCCUUCUCUGUGCUUCCAUGUGCUUCGUUGAGACUGGAAGUAUGAGGUCAGUCCUAAUCAGCAUCACUAUGAAAGGAGAACCAGUUCAAAAUAACAGUCUCAUUGGACAAGUAGUGUUUUGUUUAUUUCUGUUAUUAGAGAUGGGUCAAAGUACCCCAAGACUACAUCAAAACUGGAACCAAUCCACAUUAAAAGCUUGGGUGUGCCUAAAGUUGGCACGUACUGAACGAGUCUUGUACACACCUAACUUCUUAUCUUUCAAGAUACUUGGCAGCCUCACUCCCACUUGGGUGCUCAGCUCCCAUUGAUAAUGCCAUGUGCUAAUUCAGGCAUGCAGGCUUUCAUAUAAUGUUCUUACUCUGAAGAACAGUUGGUCUUGGGGGAAAACAGUUACACAGAUGACAUUAUUUUCAGGAAAAUGAAAAGUACUGGGUGAAAAAGGAAGUUUUGACACUGUGUGAGGUGUAGAGUUUACACACAGUAGUUUUUGUUGCAUGUAUGUAAAUGGGUGAUUUACCAUAUUUAAAUACAAUACAUUUAUACACCAUUGGUGUCUAAUUUAUGUAUUUGUAGGGAUAAAUGGAAACCUUGGU